AACGCACAUUGCGCCCGCCAGUAUUCUGGCGGGCAUGCCUGUUCGAGCGUCAUUUCAACCAUCAAGCCCCCGGGCUUGUGUUGGGGACCUGCGGCUGCCCGCAGGCCCUGAAAACCAGUGGCGGGCUCGCUGUCACACCGAGCGUAGUAGCAUCAUCUCGCUCAGGGCGUGCUGCGGGUUCCGGCCGUUAAAAGCCUCCAAUAACCCAAGGUUGACCUCGGAUCAGGUAGGAAGACCCGCUGAACUUAA
rnacentral:misc_RNA from 2 species